rnacentral:tRNA from 1 species
GCGUCUGUAGCCUAGUUGGUAAAGGCAGCACUCCAGUAUGUGUCUCAGCAUAGCUGAGGUCGUGAGAUCGACUCUCACCAGACACA